UAUUUGUUUUCGGUUCAAGGAAGGCAAAGUAAUGGUAAAACGCAAACUUGAGAUAGAUGGUGGUGAUAGCAAACCACAAAGGAAGCAAUCGACUCCAUGGACUCAAGACGAGACCGAAACUUUGUGCGACUUAAUUUUAAAGCAUGGAACUGGUGCAAUUUUAAAUAAAAGGACAAAUGCGGGUACUAAGGAACAAAGAGAACACGAGUGGAAAACUAUUGAAGCGGACUUUCAGGCUAUAACAAGCAACAAACGUAACAUGCAAACAUUGAAAGCCCGAUUCAAGCGAGUUAUGUAUGAGUUGCGCGUGUAUUCGGCAUGGACUCGGCGAAACAACACCCAAACGGGCGGUGGUUUGCCUACACCGAUGCCAAAAGAGCUACACAUUGAAAUGACUGGUUCACUGAUGUCUUUGCAUAGCCAUUACGGCUCAGCAUAUUUUAAUGGCUUGAUGUCAUAUGAUUGUGAUAUCACUGAUAAUGUGGACAGA